AUAAAAGAUCGCUAGGAAAAUGAUGAUCAUCAGUCAGCAGUUACCUGUAGUGACGCUUAUUCGUUAGACGGGAUUCAAAAUGCAGAAAUUGAUUGUUUUGUUCGCUCUCGUAGCAGCAUGCUUCGCUGCCCCUAAGCCUGGUGCGCUGUUGACAUACCCCUCAUCAGCCGUCAUUUCACCAGUAGUUUCACCAGUUGCGAGUGUCUCCAGCUACUCGACCGGCAUCGUCCAUGGCUCCCCAUUGCUGUCCCUUGCUCAUCCACCACUUGUCCACCCUGUUCAUCCAAUCCACUCCAACAUUGCUCAUCCCGUUUUUAUAUAAAUAAUUUAACCCGCUAAUAUGUUACAUCGGUGUAUAGUCGUAUUUUUUAAGAAGAUUCAAUGUUAUGAAUACAAGUAAUUAUUACAUUUUCUUUGAAAACAAUUAUACACCAUUAAAUUGUAUAUAAAAAAGGUCGUUUAUAUGUUACUAGUUAUAUUGGUGAAAUGGUUUAUGGUGCCAAUAUUUUUAUUCAUGGAACAUUUUACCAUAAUAUUCUUUUUGAUGAACCAGACAGUAUAUUAUCACUCCGCAAAAUUUUAAUAAAACCUGUCCUAUAGUUUUUGCACGGUCUUCUUAUUUUUUUUUUCAAUUAUGUUUAAAUUUUUUACUAAAUUUAUUCAAAUGGAUUAAUUUUUAAUUACUUGCUAUUAUAUGUAUAUUGUAAGUUUAUGCUUCCAUUAAUAGCGUAAAUAUCAAUGGUUUCAAGUAAUUGAGUACGGUAAUACCCUCGAAGAUUGAGUGAACAAUAUUGUUUGAAGUGUAAUGCUAAUCAAAAUAUUAAUGAAUUUGGUAGAUGAUAAGCAAAUAUAAACACAUACGUACUUGUUACAAAUACAACUGCAACAUAUUCAAAAGAAAAAAAAUGAAGGACGUUUUUGUUAUUAAAAGAGUGUUGUGAUAACUUAUUGUAUAUAUAACAGGGUAUAAAUAAAUACAUUGCAGCAAAACGUA